rnacentral:lncRNA from 10 species
GCAAGAGUCAGGAUAAGAAGUAUGACACUCACAGUGAAAGCACAAAACAUCAAGCCAACAGUUCAGGACUAGUCAUUCAAAUGGACUAAAGUAGUAUGAUGCCUCUGGCUUCCCUCUAUCACACGUCUUCUUUUCGAGUAAAGGUUUUUCAUAAAUGUGAGCGUGGAAGAAGAAACCAGUUAAAUAUGGAACUUCACACCAGGACACAAAAGGACUUCAAACUUUUAGAUUCCACAAGUAUGUGAAAAGAUGCAGUAUUUGUCUUUCUGUGCAUGGUUUACUUCACUUAUCAUCAUGUCCCUCAGGUUCAUCCACGUUGUUGCAAAUGACAGGAUUUCAUUCAUUUUUAAGACUGAAUAGUACUCCAUUAUGCAAAUAUACCAGAUUUUCAUUGUCUAUUCGUUCACUGAUGAACACGGGUUAAUCCUAUAUGUUGGCUAUUGUGAAUAAAGCUGCAAUGAAUAUGAGAGUACAGAUAUAUUCUUGACAUAUUAAUUUUAUUUUAUUUGGCAAUAUACCCAAUAGUAGCUAGAUCAUAUCAGAGUUCUAUUUUUAAUUUUUGAGGAAACUUCAUACUGUUUUUCAUAAUAGUUAUUACUAAUUUACACUCAGUAUACAAGAGUUCCCUUUUCUCCACAUUCUUUCCAAAAUUUGUUUCCUUUUCCCUUUUUGAUAACAGCUACUCUAACUGGGGUGAAAUAAUAUCUCACUGUGGUUUUAAUUUUCAUUUAUCUGAUUAAUGAUUUUGAGCUUUUUAAAAUAAAUACUUGUUGGCAAUUUGUAUGUCAUCUUUUGAGAAGUGUCUAUUAAAAUUUGUUUGCCUAUUU